GGGGGAUAACCCGGAGAAAUCCGGCCUAAUACCGCGUAACACCUUUUGGGAGCAUUCCCGGGAGGUUAAAGGAGAGAUCCGGCAUAGGAUGGACAUGCGUCGCAUUAGGUAGACGGCGGGGUAACGGCCCACCGUGCCGACGAUGCGUAGGGGUUCUGAGAGGAAGGCCCCCCACACUGGUACUGAGACACGGACCAGACUCCUACGGGAGGCAGCAGUGAGGAAUAUUGGUCAAUGGCCGAGAGGCUGAACCAGCCAAGUCGCGUGAGGGAAGAAUGUCCUAAGGAUUGUAAACCUCUUUUGUCGGGGAGCAAAAAGGCUCUGCGGAGUCGUAUUGAGAGUACCCGAAGAAAAAGCAUCGGCUAACUCCGUGCCAGCAGCCGCGGUAAUACGGAGGAUGCGAGCGUUAUCCGGAUUUAUUGGGUUUAAAGGGUGCGCAGGCGGCGUGUCAAGCAAGCGGUAAAAUAGCGGGGCUCAACCCCGUCGAGCCGUUUGAACUGGCGCGCUUGAGUUCAGGCGAGGUAGGCGGAAUUCGUGGUGUAGCGGUGAAAUGCAUAGAUAUCACGAAGAACUCCGAUUGCGAAGGCAGCUUACCAGUCUGCGACUGACGCUCAGGCACGAAAGUGUGGGUAUCGAACAGGAUUAGAUACCCUGGUAGUCCACACAGUAAAC
rnacentral:rRNA from 1 species